CCGUACACAAAAGCGCAUGUGCUGUGAGCUCGAUGAGUAGGGCGGGACACGUGGUAUCCUGUCUGAAUAUGGGGGGACCAUCCUCCAAGGCUAAAUACUCCUGACUGACCGAUAGUGAACCAGUACCGUGAGGGAAAGGCGAAAAGAACCCCGGCGAGGGGAGUGAAAAAGAACCUGAAACCGUGUACGUACAAGCAGUGGGAGCACAGGUUUACCUGUGUGACUGCGUACCUUUUGUAUAAUGGGUCAGCGACUUAUAUUCUGUAGCAAGGUUAACCGUAUAGGGGAGCCGUAGGGAAACCGAGUCUUAACCGGGCGUUAAGUUGCAGGGUAUAGACCCGAAACCCGGUGAUCUAGCCAUGGGCAGGUUGAAGGUUGGGUAACACUAACUGGAGGACCGAACCGACUAAUGUUGAAAAAUUAGCGGAUGACCUGUGGCUGGGGGUGAAAGGCCAAUCAAACCGGGAGAUAGCUGGUUCUCCCCGAAAGCUAUUUAGGUAGCGCCUCGUGAAUUCAUCUCCGGGGGUAGAGCACUGUUUCGGCUAGGGGGCCAUCCCGGCUUACCAACCCGAUGCAAACUGCGAAUACCGGAGAAUGUUAUCACGGGAGACACACGGCGGGUGCUAACGUCCGUCGUGAAGAGGGAAACAACCCAGACCGCCAGCUAAGGUCCCAAAGUCAUGGUUAAGUGGGAAACGAUGUGGGAAGGCCCAGACAGCCAGGAUGUUGGCUUAGAAGCAGCCAUCAUUUAAAGAAAGCGUAAUAGCUCACUGGUCGAGUCGGCCUGCGCGGAAGAUGUAACGGGGCUAAACCAU
rnacentral:rRNA from 2 species